rnacentral:rRNA from 1 species
GGGCCCGCACAAGCGGUGGAGCAUGUGGUUUAAUUCGAUGAUACGCGAGGAACCUUACCAGGGCUUAAAUGUAACGGGACAGAUCUAGAGAUAGAUCCUUCUUCGGACUCAUUACAAGGUGCUGCAUGGUUGUCGUCAGCUCGUGCCGUGAGGUGUCAGGUUAAGUCCUAUAACGAGCGCAACCCCCAUCGUUAGUUGCCAACGAGUAAUGUCGGGAACUCUAACGAAACUGCCGGUGCAAACCGUGAGGAAGGUGGGGAUGACGUCAAAUCAUCACGGCCCUUACGUCCUGGGCUACACACGUGCUACAAUGGUCGGUACAGAGAGCAGCCACUACGCGAGUAGGAGCGAAUCUAUAAAGCCGGUCUCAGUUCGGAUCGCAGUCUGCAACUCGACUGCGUGAAGCUGGAAUCGCUAGUAAUCGG